CAAGAGGGGCCAAGUCCCUCCCACCAAGAGAAGUAGUGACUGUGAUCCAUGGCAACGGCAGCAGAGCAAUUGCAAGAGCAUGUUCCUUCCAUGGCUCAGGAAGUGUGUUGAAGGCAGGGGUUCAAUAAACAACCCUCACAACAGGGAAUGGAAAAGUUUUCCUGGAUUCCUGCUGUUCCCUCAUCCUGCUAUCCUCGUCAGUGCCCAACAUUGGCUUCAUAAAUCAAGGGUGGAGAACUUGUUCUUGUUACCCUUGACCUACAGGAGAAAAAAAAAUUCAAAGUCCCAUAAAUAAAAAGUAAUAGCCAUUUAAUGGAAGGUGGGAAAAGGAGGAAGGAGGAAACAGAGAAGAUGGUACUAGAACAAGGAUUGGGUGAGAAAGACAGAAGAUGGAUAUUUGCGUGUUGGAUACUCAUGGAGAAACGUGAUACAGUGAUGAACUAAAAGGCCCCGUAAUUACAUUGAAGAUUAAGUCGGCAUUUUUCAAGCCUGGAUUCCACGAAUUGCAAAUCUUCAUUCUGGUAAGACUUCGCCAGGUUGGAUGAUGUUUAUGGAACACCCAAUAGUCCAGAGACAGGCUUUUGGAAUUACUUGAACACACAGAAAUAUUUCAAACCACAGUUUCUAGUGAAUAUCUUCACAAUGGACCCACACAAUUCUGCCUAUAGAAACUUGACCCACUGGUUGGGUGGAAUUAAGCGGAAGCUUGGAUUUAAUAUUUGUCUUGCAGUUUUUGCUCAUUAAUUUAUCUUUCAGUCCUCUACCUUUAUUCUUCUGCUCAUUAACAAUACACGUUACUAUGACACCUUUGUGGACCCAUCUAAGGGGUUAGAAGAAAUGUUGACGGUAAUCCAUCUUUGGAUUCUCUCAGUGAUAUUUGAUGAAUCUGUGCCAGCAGGAGCUCUUCCUCAGUUCUAAUGUCAAUUUCUACUCAGAAGAGAGUCAAUAAUAAAAAAAAAGAAGAAGAGAGUCAAUAUUUGCAGAGAAAAAAUAUUUUGUUUAGCCUAAAAUUUAACGUAAGCAUCAUAAAUGUCUGUAUUUGAAAUCAAAUUUUCAAAUCAAAACUCAAAGGGGAACUCCUCUCUGAUCUCCUAACCCAAAGCCAUCCUACCCAACCUCAUUUCCUUCUUCAACUGAGAAUGGGACUUCAAAUGAGUGUGUAAGAAUACAUACCUCAAUGAGAGAAUCAUUUGCUGCCUCCUUGAAUCUCCAUCUUUGUGAAGAAGCAAUAAGGAACAGCCCCUUUGCAAUGCACUGUUGUUGUUAAUAGACAUAUUGCUGCCUAUAUUCCCAUGAAUUUUUGAGUUCCAAGUCUUUGAGAUGGAAUCUGAAUGUUUUGUAUUUGUGUUUGCUCUUUAAUCGACCUGGAAGGUCUUAUACCAAGGUUGUGAUCAUUGUUUCUAUUGAAUCUUUGCAAAGCCUAGUAGAAGGACUAGGAGGGAGGAGAUAAGAAGAGACAAGGUGGAACAGGAGAAGGAAUCUGUAUCUCUUCUCAAUCUACCUAUCUGAAAAUCUUAAAAAAAAUGGUUAGUGGUCACUUCUUUUUGUGUACAGAAUUUACUGAUGUUCAGCUUUUGUGUAUGUGUUUUGUUUUAAUUUUUGUCUUUAAAUUUCUGGAAAAAACCCUACUAUAAUGAAAACUGGUGUUAUUUGGCACUAUUAACUACAGAGUUGAGAGCAGGGGGUAGGAGUUCCUAUUGGCAAAUUGAAUUUAAAUAAAAAUUUAAAAGAAGAUAAAAUAAUACAUUAAUAUUAUAAAAAUAAAAUAAGAUUUGUUUUAAGAAAGAGAUGAGAACCUGCAUAUAGUGAAUGCAGGCUGUGUACCAGCCACUCUACCAGCCGCUUUUUACCAGACAACUUUACUGAGACACAAUUGACACACAAGAAACCGUUCCUAAUUAAAGCGUGCAUUUUGAUAAGCUUUAGCAUGUGUACAUGCCCAUGAAACCAUCAACACAAUCGAGAUAAUAUUCCCUAUUAGUCACUGCCCCAAGUUUCUCCGUGUGCCUUUCUAAUCCCUCCCGCCUGCCCAUCCCUUCCCCUCCUGUUCUAGGCAAUUACUCCUCUGCUUUCUGUCUUCAUCAAUUAGUUUGUAUUUUUGAGAAUUUUCUAGGAAUGGAAUCAUGCAGUAAGUACUUGCAUUUGUCUGGCUUCUUUCACUCAGCAUAAUUAUUUUGGAAUUAUCUAACUUGGUGCCUACAUCACCACCUUAUUCCUUUUCACUGCUGAGAGUUUGGCUACCACACUUUAAUCCACUGGUGGCCAUUUGAAUAGUUUCCCCAUCUUGGCUGUAUAAAUGGAGCUGCUAUGAAAAUUCCCAUACAGGUCUUUAUGUGGAAAUAUGCUUUCACUUAUCUUGAGGGAACUAUCUAAGAGUAGAGUGGAUGGAAUUCUAUGAUAAGUUUGAGUUUGACUUUU